UUGAUCGUGGGUCAGUCGGUCCUAAGCUUAUGAUGAAAUAUGUGUUGAAUGUGUAUAAUUAAGUAUUGUCACUAUAAGCGAAAGGGAAUCAGGCUAAUAUUCCUGAACCUACACACCGGGAUGUUGUUCUGCAACUAAUGUGGUAACACAAGCGUGCUCGAAAAUACCAAGUGAUAGGCUGGGAAGAGUUGUCUUUUCUUUUUAAGUCAUUUGUACCCAUGGAAUGGAGUAGAUUUGAGAUAUGGGUAGGGGUGACAUAAAGCUGCUCAUUUUAGAGCAGUUCAGUUGAUUUACUUGGUCCUUGAAAAUUCGAGCAUGGUAUUUAUCUUGGUGGUAGUCCGUACUAGUAUCCGCAGCAGGUCUCCAAGGU
rnacentral:rRNA from 1 species